rnacentral:lncRNA from 1 species
UGCAUCCACGAAGAUCCUAUUUCCAGAUAAGAUCACAUUCACAAGUCCUGGGAAUUGACUUGAACAUAUCUCUGGGGUCUACAGUUCAACCCCAGGUGUACCGGUGGCUACAACCAAAGGUUUGGCAAGUCUUUCUCAGGGCCUGGAAUGAAUUCAGGUGCACUUGUCUAUUUAUUUAUUUGGAGGUGGUGGGGUUGGGGGGACGGUCUCACGCUGUCGCCCAGGUGGAAGUGCAGUGGUGCAAUCACAGCUCACUGUAGCCUUAAGCACAUCCAGGAACUUCUUACUAUUCACUCACCAAACCCUGCAGGAGGGUCAGGAAGGUGGCCUGGAGGAGGGGGCCCUUAGGAGGAGACUUGGGAGGUAAGUAGGAUUCUGCCUCUGACUCCAGGAAGAGAGAGAGAGCCCUAGGUCAAAGCUCCACCAAGCCCCGAUUGCAGAGGUUACUGCAUGAGCAGGCACCCCAGGGUUGGGUGACAGUCACAGAGGGAGAGGUCAGCUUGCAUCAGGGUCAGGCCAUGCGGGCCUCGGAGCGGGAACUACAGAUUUAUCCUGAGGGCACUGGGGAGCCAUGGGAGGGGCUGGUAGGGAGGGGACUGAGUGGGUUUACUCUUUGGAAAGAUCCCUGGGGUCACUGUGAUGAGAGCAGGUCUGGCAGCAGGAAGAGCAGGUGAGGAGGCAACCACCGCCCUGUGGUGGUGGCAGAUGAGGCGGGGUGCUGUUGGCGACUCAUGGAUGAGCAGACUGAGGGCCUGGAGUUUUCACCAAGUGAGGGAAAUAAGGACCCAGGGAAGCAAAGAGCAAACACUCAGGCAAAUAAGAAUGACGACGACGGUAACAGAAACACUUCAUUCCAGUUCACUACCGGGUUUGCACAGAUUAUUUAAUUUAAUCCUCACCACAGCCUGAGGCUAUAUGGGUAUAAGAGAAGGUCCUAUAAGAGAGGUUAGGGACUCUAGAGUCAAACUUCCUGGGUUCAGUCUCUGCUCCAUUGCCUACCUGCUGUGUGACCUAGAGCAAGUUGUUCAACCUCUCUGAGUGUCCAUUUUCUUAUCUGACAAGCAGCCCCUCCUUCCUGGGGUUGUUGUACAGAUUCAGUGAGUAAAUACUUGUAAAUUGGCCAGGCUCGGUGGCUCACACCUGUAAUCCUAGCACUUGGGGAAGUGGGGGGGGGGGAUCACCUGAGGUCGGGAGUUCAAGACCAGCCUGACCAACAUGGAGAAACCCCAUCUCCACUAAAAAUACCAAAUUAGCUGGGCGUGGUGGCACAUGCCUGUAAUCUCAGCUGUUCAGGAGGCUGAGGCAGGAGAAUCGCUUGAACCCCGGAGGCGGAGGUUGCAGUGAGCUGAGAUUGUGCCAUUGCACUCCAGCCUGGGCAACAAGAGAGAAACUCCGUC